GGGAAAGUUGAAAGAUUUAUUAAAAGUAAAUAAAAGCAAAGAUUAAACCUUGUACCUUUUGCAUAAUGAGCUAACUAGAAACCCCCUAACUAAGAAAACUUUAGCUGGAAACCUCGAAACCAAGUGAGCUACCCAAGAGCAACCUUAUGAGUGAAACCUAUGUAGCAAAAUAGUGGGAAGAAUUUUGGGUAGAGGUGAAAAGCCUAACGAGCCUGGUGAUAGCUGGUUACCCAAUAAAGAAUUUUAGUUCAACUUUAAGCCUACCAUACAAAUCAUUAACAUAAAUGUAAGCUUAAAAUAUAGCCUAAAGAGGGACAGCUCUUUAGGAAUGGAAACAACCUCAAAUAGUGAAUAAGAUACCUAACCAAUCAACCAUAGAUGGCUUAAGAGCAGUCAUCAAUAAAGAAAACGUUCAAGCUCAACACUUAGUGUCACACCUAAUACCCAAAAUCACAUUUCCUAUUCUUAUAACUGGGUUAAUCUAUUAAUAAAUGGAAGCAAUACUGUUAGUAUGAAUAACAGGAAUAAUAUUCUCCACGCACAAGCCUAUAACUACUCGGAUAACCAUUGUUAGUUAACAAGCUACAAGCACAUCAACUACCCAUAAAAAGUACUUGCCACUUAAUGUUAAUCCAACACAGGCAUACUAAAAGGAAAGAUUAAAAGAAAUAAAAGGAACUCGGCAAACAUGAAUCCCUCCUGUUUACCAAAAACAUAACCUCUAGCAUUACAAGUAUUAGAGGCAAUGCCUGCCCAGUGACUAAGUUAAACGGCCGCGGUAUCCUGACCGUGCAAAGGUAGCAUAAUCACUUUUUCCUUAAUUAGGGAAUAGUAUGAAUGGCUAAACGAGGAUUCAACUGUCUCUUAUUUCCAAUCAGUGAAAUGGACCCUCCCGUGAAGAGGCGGGAAUACAACAAUAAGACGAGAAGACCCUAUGGAGCUUUAACCAAAUAAUUUAAUUUUACAUCAAAUAGUCUACUGACGGUAAAAUACUAAAUAUAAAUUAUAGGUUUCGGUUGGGGUGACCUCAGAGAACAAAAAAACCUCCGAAUGAUUAUAACCUAGGCCAACAAGCCAAAGUACUCAUAAUUUUAUUGACCCAAAACUAGUUUGAUCAACGGACCAAGUUACCCUAGGGAUAACAGCGCAAUCCUAUUCAAGAGUCCAUAUCGACAAUAGGGUUUACGACCUCAAUGCUGGAUCAGGACAUCCCAAUGGUGUAGCAGCUACUAAAGGUUCGUUUAUUCAACGAUUAAAGUCUUACGUGAUCUGAGUUCAGACCAGAGUAAUCCAGGUCAGUUUCUAUCUAUUCACGAUUUCUCCCAGUACGAAAGGACAAGAGAAAUGGGGCCUCCUUAACACAAGCCCCCCUAAUCAAUUAAUGAAACCAUCUUAAUAAAGUAGAUCCGUUCGAAAUUAACCCUAGAUAAGGGUUUAUUAGGGUGGCAGAGCCCGGAAAUUGCAUAAGACUUAAAACCUUGUUCUCAGAGGUUCAAAUCCUCUCCCUA
rnacentral:rRNA from 1 species